CAGAAAUGCAAGAGGGUUUCUUUGGUCUUUUCCUUCCCUUUUUCUUCUUCAGAAAUCCAAGAGAGUUUAAAGGGAAAUUUCUUACAUCUAUUUUUCCCCCUCUGAAGAAUUUAGACUGCUGUGUUUGUAAUCAAUGACCCAUAUCCAAAAUAAUCACAUUUGCUUUUCAUAGUCAGAAUAUUCAAAAGAAGCUCAGCUUUUUCAACUUACUUUUUAUAAAA